GUAGGUGGCAAGCGUUGUCCGGAAUUAUUGGGGCGUAAAGCGCGCGCAGGCGGUUCUUUAAGUCUGAUGUGAAAGCCCACGGGCUCAACCGUGGAGGGUCAUUGGAAACUGGAGAACUUGAGUACAGAAGAGGAAAGCGGAAUUCCACGUGUAGCGGUGAAAUGAGUAGAGAUGUGGAGGAACACCAGUGGCGAAGGCGGCUUUCUGGUCUGUAACUGACGCUGAGGCGCGAAAGCGUGGGGAGCAAACAGGAUUAGAUACCCUGGUAGUCCACGCCGUAAACGAUGAGUGCUAAGUGUUAGGGGGUUUCCGCCCCUUAGUGCUGCAGCUAACGCAUUAAGCACUCCGCCUGGGGAGUACGGCCGCAAAGGCUG
rnacentral:rRNA from 1 species